CAGAAACUUUACAUAACCCAAGGACUUUGAUAAAUUAAGGUUUCUGAGUCUGCAAAGAUAAUACAAGAUUAAGGAUAACUUUUCAAUUUUACCAGAAGAAAAUGAAGUCCAGAUACAUGUGUGAUGGUUAUCAGUGAAAAGAUUCCCUUUCACUCCUGUAUACAUUAGAGAGUGUAUGUUAGAUUACAAAACUACAAUAUGAAUGUUGGAAAAACCUUGUUUGAUAUGGAACUAUUUGUCCGUUAAGAUUAGCAUUAAGUAUUUUUACUAUGCAAAUGUCAAUCGGAUAGUAAAACUUGUAUAACAUUAAGCCCUCUUAAGUAUAUUUGCUCCUAGGCCAUGUUGUUUGACCAAUUCCAUGAGAACCAUCAGCUUACCAACUUUAGAUAAAACUUCAUGGUCAGAAUAGCCAAGAGAAAUAGAUAUUCAUGAUUGAUUGUCAGGUCAUACGUCAUGAAGGUUACUUCAACAUGUACUGGUAUUAUCAAUAUGGCAUAUCUUGUUUUGUGUAAAACUGGAUGUCAGUUAAUAAAAUUGUCAGUAUAUUUC
rnacentral:misc_RNA from 1 species